AUUUGGUUCAUGAUUGAUGCAUAAGAUAUAUUAACCAAAUAACAAGCCUCAAGGUGUAUCAUAAAGAUUUUCAGAUUUAAAUUUCAAAUGAUACAUAUUGGAGAGUAUUAGGAUCACUUCUCAUUUAGUAUUCUUUCUCUCUCCUUUAGUUAUAGAUUUAUGCGAUUAAGUUCCAUAUGAUCUCUCCUCCUAAAAAUUUUCUUUCUCCCCCUUAAUUGAACAUUCCAUUUAAGAGUUUAGAAUUUGAAGAUAAUGUUCAAUAAAACAUUCAAAUUGUCAAUCUCGAA
rnacentral:lncRNA from 1 species